GCAAAAGUAGCUCAAACUUGGAGCAACGAUCUUGUAAGUCGUAGGUUGGUGGUUAAAGUCCACCCUUUUGCU
rnacentral:tRNA from 1 species